GUCCUUUUGGUAUUUAUUUAAGGUCUAACCUGCCCUAUGAUUAUUUAAAUGGCCGCGGUACUCUGACCGUGCAAAGGUAGCAUAAUCAUUUGUCUUUUAAUUGAAGGCUGGAAUGAAUGGUUGGACGAGAAAUAGACUUUCUUUACUAUAUUUAUUAGAAUUUAAUUUUUAAGUUAAAAAGCUUAAAUUUUUUUAUAGGACGAGAAGACCCUGUAGAACUUUAUUUGUUUUUAAAAUGAAUUAUUUUGGUUUAUAUUUGUUUUGUUUUUGGAAUAAAUUUUGUUGGGGUGAUGUGAAAAUUUUUUUAACUUUUCAUUAUUUUAUUCAUUAAUUUAUGUUUUUUUGAUCCAAUUUUAUUGAUUAAAAGAUUAAGUUACCUCAGGGAUAACAGCGUAAUUUUUUCGGAGAGUUCUUAUUGAUGAAGAAGUUUGCGA
rnacentral:rRNA from 1 species